CAUAACAGACAAUGUAAAACAAAUUAUUUAUAUUGAAGUCGGGCGUCUCAGAAGGCAGCUCUGUCGGGAAGCUCCACCCCCUGCUCUUGGCUGGCCCCGCCCCUCUGGGUGCGCGCAGGUUUCCAGUUCCCGGUGUCGUCCGGCUUUCUCAUCUCCCCUCGGGAAUCCCUUCGCCUCCCACCUCCUAAGUCGCGCUCUGUCUUCUCCUGCAGGCCCCGCAGACUGCUCCGAGUCCCCAGAAGUCACCUAUGGCCUCCGGACCUCGAGCCGCGGUCCCGACUUCCCCUCGUCCCCAGGGAGUUUGGUCUCGUCCUGGCGCAGACCCUGGGAGCGCGUCCGCGUCGUCAUGGCGACGGGCAGAGCGGGCGCUGGCUCCCGCGAAUCCAGCCCGGGAACCAGCUCCAGUGUGAGCCGCCUGGGACCUGGGGCGCGGGGUGGCUCUCUUGGCCGCCGUCGAGCUGCUGAGGCCGCCUGAGCUCCAGGAAAUGACCCUUGGCUCUAAAAAGAGGACCCCAUUUUUCGUGAUAAAAUGGCACCAGUGAAAACCCCCAGCAGAAAACCAAAGAAUGCUGAGGAACCGUUUAAUAAUGUCUCGCCCGUCCUUUU
rnacentral:lncRNA from 1 species